rnacentral:rRNA from 1 species
AUUGAACGCUGGCGGCAGGCCUAACACAUGCAAGUCGAACGAGUGGCGGACGGGUGAGUAGUGUCUGGGCAACUGCCUUAUGGUGGGGGAUAACUACUGGAAACGGUAGCUAAUACCGCAUCCCAUCAGAUGUCCCCAGAUGGGAUUGGCUUGUUGGUGGGGUAACGACUUACCAGGGCGAGGAUCCCGAGCUGGUCUGAGAGGCUGACCAGCCACACUGGAGCUGAGCCACGGUCCAGACGCCUACGGUAGGCAGCAGUGGGGAAUAGUACACAGUGGGCGCAAGCCUGAUGCAGCCAUGCCGCGUGUAUGAAGGAGGCCUUCGGGUUGUAAAGUACUUUCAGCGGGGAGGCGUUACCCGCAGAAGAAGCACCGGCUAACUCCGUGCCAGCAGCCGCGGUAAUAC